GUCUCUAUAGCUCAGUGGUAGAGCAUCUGACUGGUGUAUGGAAGGUCAUGGGUUCGAUUCCAGUUUGUAGUCC